rnacentral:rRNA from 1 species
UACGUAGGGUGCGAGCGUUGUCCGGAAUUAUUGGGCGUAAAGGGCUCGUAGGCGGUUUGUCGCGUCGGGAGUGAAAACACUGGGCUUAACUCAGUGCUUGCUUCCGAUACGGGCAGACUAGAGGUAUUCAGGGGAGAACGGAAUUCCUGGUGUAGCGGUGAAAUGCGCAGAUAUCAGGAGGAACACCGGUGGCGAAGGCGGUUCUCUGGGAAUGUCCUGACGCUGAGGAGCGAAAGUGUGGGGGAGCGAACAGG